AACGAACGCUGGCGGCGUGGAUUAGGCAUGCAAGUCGAACGCGAAAGAGGGAGCAAUCCCUCAAGUAGAGUGGCGAACGGGUGAGUAACGCGUGAAGAACCUGCCUUCAACAGGGGGAGUAACACUCCCAACGGGUGGCUAAUACCGCAUGAGACCACGGGUCCGGCAUGGACCUGAGGUCGAAGGGUGGCCUCUGCUUGCAAGCUACCGGUUGAAGAUGGC
rnacentral:rRNA from 1 species